GCAGUCGCCGCGGGAAUACGUAGGGUGCAAGCGUUAAUCGGAAUUACUGGGCGUAAAGCGCACGUAGGCGGCUCCGCAAGUCGGAUGUGAAAUCCCUCGGCUUAACCAAGGAAGUGCAUCCGAAACUGCAGAGCUUGAGUACUUAAGAGGAUCGCGGAAUUCCCGGUGUAGAGGUGAAAUUCGUAGAUAUCGGGAGGAACACCAGUGGCGAAGGCGGCGAUCUGGGAAGAUACUGACGCUGAGGUGCGAAAGCGUGGGGAGCAAACAGGAUUAGAUACCCCCGUAGUCCCUGUCUCUUAUAC
rnacentral:rRNA from 1 species